rnacentral:rRNA from 1 species
AAUUCGAAGCAACGCGAAGAACCUUACCAGGUCUGACAUCCCCUGACAACCCGAGAGAUCGGGCGUCCCCUUCGGGGGACAGGGUGACAGGUGGUGCAUGGUUGUCGUCAGCUCGUGUCGUGAGAUGUUGGGUUAAGUCCCGCAACGAGCGCAACCCCUAUUGUUAGUUGCCAUCAUUCAGUUGGGCACUCUAGCGAGACUGCCGGUAAUAAACCGGAGGAAGGUGGGGAUGACGUCAAAUCAUCAUGCCCCUUAUGACCUGGGCUACACACGUGCUACAAUGGUUGGUACAACGAGUUGCGAGUCGGUGACGGCGAGCUAAUCUCUUAAAGCCAAUCUCAGUUCGGAUUGUAGGCUGCAACUCGCCUACAUGAAGUCGGAAUCGCUAGUAAUCGCGGAUCAGCACGCCGCGGUGAAUACGUUCCCGGGCCUU